rnacentral:siRNA from 1 species
UAUACAAAACGUGAUAUAUAUGCC